rnacentral:rRNA from 1 species
AUUGAACGCUGGCGGCAGGCCUAACACAUGCAAGUCGAACGGUAACAGGAAGAAGCUUGCUUCUUUGCUGACGAGUGGCGGACGGGUGAGUAAUGUCUGGGAAACUGCCUGAUGGAGGGGGAUAACUACUGGAAACGGUAGCUAAUACCGCAUAACGUCGCAAGACCAAAGAGGGGGACCUUCGGGCCUCUUUCCAUCGGAUGUGCCCAGAUGGGAUUAGCUAGUAGGUGGGGUAACGGCUCACCUAGGCGACGAUCCCUAGCUGGUCUGAGAGGAUGACCAGCCACACUGGAACUGAGACACGGUCCAGACUCCUACGGGAGGCAGCAGUGGGGAAUAUUGCACAAUGGGCGAAAGCCUGAUGCAGCCAUGCCGCGUGUAUGAAGAAGGCCUUCGGGUUGUAAAGUACUUUCAGCGGGGAGGAAGGGAGUAAAGUUAAUACCUUUGCUCAUUGACGUUACCCGCAGAAGAAGCACGGGCUAACUCCGUG